rnacentral:rRNA from 1 species
GAUGAACGCUGGCGGCGUGCUUAACACAUGCAAGUUGAACGAAGUGGCGGAUGGGCGAGUAACACGUGAGGAACCUGCCUUUCACAGGGGAAUAACACUGGGAAACCAGUGCUAAUACCGCAUAGUGAAAGAUGGCCUCGCGCCUGAUUAGCUAGUAGGUGAGGUAACGGCCCACCUAGGUGGUGAUCAGUAGCCGGACUGAAGGUGGAACGGCCGAAUCGGGACUGAGACACGGCCAAGACUCCUACGGGAGGAAGGAGUGGGGAAUAUUGGGCAAUGGCGGCAAGCCUGACCCAGCAGCGCCGGGUGAAGGAAGACGGUCUUCGGAUGGUAAACUUCUUUAGACAGGAACGCGGUACCUGUAGAAUAAGCCACGGCUAACUACGUGCCAGCAGCCGCGGUAAUAC